rnacentral:ncRNA from 1 species
AAAAUUUUGAGUUUGAUGAUGGCUCUGAAUGAACGCUGUUCAAAUGCUUGACACAUGCUAAUCUAACGUCAAUUAAGCAUAUUAAUAAAUCCCAAAAUGGGAAUAUUAAUAUGCAAAAGCGAAGUGGUGUACAGGUGAAUAAAUGAUAGUUUGACUACCUUAAAGUAAGGCAAAAAUUCCUUAUAAAAAGAAAAAGAAAUUUCGCUUUAAGAUGUUUGAUUAAUUAUAUCGGAUGAGUAAUAACAAAGUUAGCUCUAGAUUCCGAAAGUCGUGACUGAGAGGUCGAUCGACCACAUUGGGAAUGAAAAA